rnacentral:rRNA from 1 species
UACGUAGGGUGCAAGCGUUAAUCGGAAUUACUGGGCGUAAAGCGUGCGCAGGCGGUUAUGCAAGACAGAUGUGAAAUCCCCGGGCUCAACCUGGGAACUGCAUUUGUGACUGCAUAGCUAGAGUACGGUAGAGGGGGAUGGAAUUCCGCGUGUAGCAGUGAAAUGCGUAGAUAUGCGGAGGAACACCGAUGGCGAAGGCAAUCCCCUGGACCUGUACUGACGCUCAUGCACGAAAGCGUGGGGAGCAAACGAGG